GAUGAACGCUGGCGGCGUGCCUAAUACAUGCAAGUCGAGCGAACGGACGAUAAUCUUGCUUCUCUGAUGUUAGCGGCGGACGGGUGAGUAACAUGUGUAUAACCUACCUAUAAUACUGGGAAAACUUCGGGAAACCGGAGCUAAUACCGGAGAAUAUUUUGAACCGCAUUGUUCAAAAGUGAAUUACGGCCUUUCUGGCACGUAUCGAUGGAUCCGCGCUGUAUUAGGUAGUUGGUAAGGUAACGACUUACCAGGUCAACGAUGCAUAGCCGACCUGUGAGAGUGAUCGGCCGCCCUGGAACUGGGACGCGGUCCAGACUACUACGGGAGGCAGCAGUAGCGAAUCUUCCGCAGUAGGCGAGAGCAUGGCGGAGCAAAGCCGCGUGAGUGAUGGCGGUCUUCCGAUCGUAAGACUCUGUUAUUAGGGAAGAACAGAUGUGUAAGUAAAUGUGGACAUCUUGACGGUACCUGAUAAGAAAGCCCCGGCUAACUACGUG
rnacentral:rRNA from 1 species